UCCCGAGUGGAUCCUGAGUACGGCGGGACACGAGGAAUCCCGCCGGAAUCCGGGAGGACCAUCUCCCAAGGCUAAAUACUCCCUAGUGACCGAUAGUGAACCAGUACCGUGAGGGAAAGGUGAAAAGCACCCCGGGAGGGGAGUGAAAGAGAUCCUGAAACCGUGUGCCUACAAGUAGUCAGAGCCCGUUAACGGGUGAUGGCGUGCCUUUUGUAGAAUGAACCGGCGAGUUACGGUCUCAUGCAAGGUUAAGCUGAAGAAGCGGAGCCGCAGCGAAAGCGAGUCUGAACAGGGCGAAAGAGUAUGAGGCCGCAGACCCGAAACCAGGUGAUCUACCCAUGUCCAGGGUGAAGGCAAGGUAACACUUGCUGGAGGCCCGAACCCACGCACGUUGAAAAGUGCGGGGAUGAGGUGUGGGUAGCGGAGAAAUUCCAAUCGAACUUGGAGAUAGCUGGUUCUCUCCGAAAUAGCUUUAGGGCUAGCCUCAAGCGAAGAGUUUUGGAGGUAGAGCACUGUUUGGACGAGGGGCCCUCAUCGGGUUACCGAAUUCAGACAAACUCCGAAUGCCAAAAACUUAUGCUUGGGAGUCAGACUGUGAGUGAUAAGAUCCAUGGUCGAAAGGGAAACAGCCCAGACCGCCAGCUAAGGUCCCAAAGUAUACGUUAAGUGGAAAAGGAUGUGGCGUUGCUUAGACAACCAGGAUGUUGGCUUAGAAGCAGCCAUCAUUCAAAGAGUGCGUAAUAGCUCACUGGUCGAGUGACGCUGCGCCGAAAAUGUAC
rnacentral:rRNA from 2 species